rnacentral:rRNA from 1 species
ACGCUCGACACCUACGGGAGGCAGCAGUGGGGAAUAUUGGGCAAUGGGCGAAAGCCUGACCCAGCAACGCCGCGUGAGGGAAGAAGGUUUUCGGAUUGUAAACCUCUGUCCUCAGGGACGAAGGACGUGACGGUACCUGAGGAGGAAGCCCCGGCUAACUACGUGCCAUCAGCCGCGGUAAUCUGAGCGGGCUGGCAAGGC